GAUCCUUCUACCUGAGCCUCCUGAGUCGUUGGAAUUAUAGAAAGAAGACCAGAGAGGAACACCAGAGGAAGCUUAAAGAAAGAUCCGAGCCUGGGAUUUAUGCUACUUUAUAUGGCUGAGCUAAAACUCCUUACUCUGUCCACAUCUGCUUCUGGAUGAGAACCAAUUACUUCCAAACAAUGAUACAACCUAAGGGGAAUGCAAGAAAGGAGUCCAUCCAUCUUCCCCAUCUUCGGGGCCGUGUGUGUGUGUGUGUGUGUGUGUGUGUGUGUGUGUGUGUCUGUGUGUGUGUGUGUGCAUGUGUGUGUGUACUGGGGCAGGGGUGGAGGGCAGUAGUGAGAAGGAGGAAAGGCCAGAAAAGGAGUUGGAAAAAUAUUUUUUUCCUUUUGAUAAUUCGUUAAGUUGAAUACCAAACUGUGCAGAAAAAAAAAAAAAAA